rnacentral:lncRNA from 1 species
CACCAACAGAAUUGAGCAAUUUUUGUUUUUCUAACUUCUGUACCUCUGGCAAGCCUCACAUGGGCUUCUAUCAGUGUAAUGGCAUCUUCAACUUGAGCCAAGUGCAGGUUAUUAGGUUACAAGUGCCAAAAAUGAUGAGCCGUCUCCACACUUCAUCCAGCAUGAAUAAAAGCAAGAUUGUAAAAUAAUUAUAAUCUCUUGAAGCAGAGCCAGCCCUGCAACCCGAGCCCAUCUUUCUUCAUUAAUUUGUAUACAGUUCUUAUUUUAACAGGACAAACUUUUUUUUCAGAGGGUACUCACAUGGGACUGCUGAACCAGCUGUACAACUUUUAUUUUGAAGAAAAAAAGUUGAGCCUCAGAACAGGCUGUUUUAAAGACAGGGAGGGACUUAUCCUUUCCGAGCUUGACCAGCAUGUGGAAAGAGCGCUCUCAUGGCUGCUGCAAUAACUUAGGGAGCUCCUACCUGGGUGACACUUGGGGUAGGCAGUUUUCUGUUUGUUUUGUUCUGUUUCCGAGGGCCCUGUAUGCUCCUCUGGCCCAUAUCAACGUGACUCUUGGUGGUUUUUGCACACCCUGCUCUGUGGGGGAGUGCCCCAACGUGCCUGUCUUAUGUGGCCUCUAUGGACACACUGCUCAGCUGGCAGAGAGCAGGGAAGUUUUCUCCCAGCACCCAAAAAGAGAAAGAGGAAACCACUUUUUCCUUCUGGCCUCCUUGCAGCACGAUAGAUCAGGAUAAGCUUCCACAUUCCUUCCCUGGAUUUUCUGGAGUGGCUUCCAGGAAGAAGUUCAACUUUCACCUUUAAAUGGAUGACCACGUCACAAUCAGGAAGAAACAUCUCCAAAGACCCAUCUUUAGGUGAGUAAUGUUAGUCUCAGGUGGCUCAAGCGCUCUCAGGAACA